rnacentral:rRNA from 1 species
AGUUUGAUCCUGGCUCAGAUUGAACGCUGGCGGCAUGCCUUACACAUGCAAGUCGGACGGCAGCACGGGAGCAAUCCUGGUGGCGAGUGGCGAACGGGUGAGUAAUACAUCGGAACGUGUCCUGGAGUGGGGGAUAGCCCGGCGAAAGCCGGAUUAAUACCGCAUACGCUCUGUGGAGGAAAGCGGGGGAUCUUCGGACCUCGCGCUCAAGGGGCGGCCGAUGGCAGAUUAGCUAGUUGGUGGGGUAAAGGCCUACCAAGGCGACGAUCUGUAGCUGGUCUGAGAGGACGACCAGCCACACUGGGACUGAGACACGGCCCAGACUCCUACGGGAGGCAGCAGUGGGGAAUUUUGGACAAUGGGGGCAACCCUGAUCCAGCAAUGCCGCGUGUGUGAAGA